rnacentral:rRNA from 1 species
GGCGAACGCUGGCGGCGUGCUUAACACAUGCAAGUCGAACGGAAAGGCCCUGCUUUUGUGGUGUGCUCGAGUGGCGAACGGGUGAGUAACACGUGAGUAACCUGCCCUUGACUUUGGGAUAACUUCAGGAAACUGGGGCUAAUACCGGAUAGGAGCUCCUGCUGCAUGGUGGGGGUUGGAAAGUUUCGGCGGUUGGGGAUGGACUCGCGGCUUAUCAGCUUGUUGGUGGGGUAGUGGCUUACCAAGGCUUUGACGGGUAGCCGGCCUGAGAGGGUGACCGGCCACAUUGGGACUGAGAGACGGCCCAGACUCCUACGGGAGGCAGCAGUGGGGAAUAUUGCACAAUGGGCGGAAGCCUGAUGCAGCAACGCCGCGUGCGGGAUGACGGCCUUCGGGUUGUAAACCGCUUUCGCCUGUGACGAAGCGUGAGUGACGGUAAUGGGUAAAGAAGCACCGGCUAACUACGUG